UGCAGUCGACGAUGAUCCGGUGCUUGCACCGGGGAUUAGUGGCGAACGGGUGAGUAACACGUGAGUAACCUGCCCUUAACUCUGGGAUAAGCCUGGGAAACUGGGUCUAAUACCGGAUAUGACUGAUCAUCGCAUGGUGGUUGGUGGAAAGCUUUUUGUGGUUUUGGAUGGACUCGCGGCCUAUCAGCUUGUUGGUGAGGUARUGGCUUACCMAGGCGAMSACGGGUAGCCGGCCUGAGAGGGUGACCGGCCACACUGGGACUGAGACACGGCCCAGACUCCUACGGGAGGCAGCAGUGGGGAAUAUUGCACAAUGGGCGCAAGCCUGAUGCAGCGACGCCGCGUGAGGGAUGACGGCCUUCGGGUUGUAAACCUCUUUCAGUAGGGAAGAAGCGAAAGUGACGGUACCUGCAGAAGAAGCGCCGGCUAACUACGUGCCAGCAGCCGCGGUAAUACGUAGGGCGCAAGCGUUAUCCGGAAUUAUUGGGCGUAAAGAGCUCGUAGGCGGUUUGUCGCGUCUGCCGUGAAAGUCCGGGGCUCAACUCCGGAUCUGCGGUGGGUACGGGCAGACUAGAGUGAUGUAGGGGAGACUGGAAUUCCUGGUGUAGCGGUGAAAUGCGCAGAUAUCAGAGGAACACCGAUGGCGAAAGCAGGUCUCUGGGCAUUAACUGACGCUGAGAGCGAAAGCAUGGGGAG
rnacentral:rRNA from 1 species